AUGGCCUUCAGGCAGAGAUUGCUCCAUUUCAGGGCUAAAAAUCUCUUCCUGACACUCUUGUUGAUCUGCAGGCCCAGAAUCCCCAGUAACAUCAGGCUGGCUUGCAGGUCCAGAACCCCCACUGAGCUCAGGUGCAGGCACAACCGAAGGCUGAACUACAGCCCUUCCUUCCUUCCUUCCUUCCUUCCUUCCUUCCUUCCUUCCUUCCUUCCUUCCUUCCACCUCUCCCUCUCGCCUUCUCUUUCCCUUGGGGCUGGGGUCUCCCUUCCUGAUGGGAUGCAUUGGGGAGGAAAGAAGGGUCUCAAACUUCUCUUCCUAACUUUUCUCUCUCUCUUUCUCUUCCUGCUCUUUUUCUCCUUCCUUCCUUCCUUCCUUCCUUCCUCUAUGGCACAGCAUUGGCGAGCGGAGGCCCAGCGCCAUGUCAACGACCUCUACGAAGACCUGCGCGAUGGGCACAACCUCAUCUCUCUGCUGGAGGUGCUUUCGGGGGACACCCUGGUAAGUAGACCCCCCAAAUCCCUUUCUUCCCCCCUUUUUCUCAUGGGAGGGGGGCAUGGAGAAUACCCUCCUCUGUGACAAUUGGGGGGGGGGGAGAGAGAGCAAGCCAAGGGGUCUCAAGAGCAAGGCUGGGCUGCAGACCCUCCUCACCCCCCACCCCUGCCCCUCGCACUGCUGCCUUGCUGCCCCCCCUUGAAUAUUUCACACAUCCCCCCCCCACCCGCUUGCUCUUGAAUAGAGAAUGGGUGCCUCCACUGUAACCCCCUCCUUCUUGCAAGACCUGGGAAGGACAAGGAGGGGGCAGAAGGAGGACCCUCCCCAAUUGGUGGCACAAGAUAACAACAACAAGAACAACCACAACAUUUCGGCAGGUCUUUGAGUUCUGUUAGAUGUUUUAAAAGGUGCUUUUAGGAUGUUUUUAAGAUAUUUUUAAAGAUGUUUUAAAGAUGUUUUUAAAUGGUUGAUUUUAGCCGGUUCUUGUAAGCCGCCCCGAGCCCUAGGGGAGUGGCGGCAUAUAAGUUUGAAAAAUAAAUAAAUAAAUAAAUAAACAAACAUUAUUCUUGUACCCUGCCUCCAUCACCCCAAAGGGACUUGAGGCGGCUUACUCAUGGCAGAAAGCGUAAAACAGAGCAUAAAAUAAUCGCAAAACAUAUGGCAUAUAAAACAACAGUUAAACUCAUAGGUAAAGGCUUUUCCCCUGACAUUAAGUCCAGUCGUGUCCGACUCCUUGCAAGACCUGGGAAGGACAAUAAGGGGGCAGAAGGAGGACCCUCCCCAAUUGGUGGCACAAGAUAACAACAACAACAAGAACAACAACAACAUUAUUCUUGUACCCUGCCUCGAUUACCCCAAAGGGACUCGAGGCGGCUUACUCAUGGAAGAAAGCAUAAAACAGAGCAUAAAAUAAACACAAAACGUAUGGCAUAUAAAACAACAAACUCAUAGCAACGUCCAAAACCUAUGGUGACAACUAUCCUAGGACAUGGCCAGACUGUAGUCAGAACCCCUCCACCCCUCCCUCUCUUUGCCGGCUCCCUUUGGGGCCUCUCCUCCCCAUUCUGUCCAUAGAGGAGGAGGCGAGUGCUACUCUUGUUGUGAUAAUCUCUGAGCGGUUAGACUCGAUUUAACCCUCUCUGGGGGAGAUUCCACCAAAAUGCAGCAGAGUAGCAAAAGCAAAAGCUUUCAAGCGCAGCAGUUACUUACACGGGGUGAGCAAGAGAAGCCUUUCAGCUUAGGAUGGCAAUCGAUUGCAGAGUCUCAGGAAAAGUUCAAAAAGUAUUUAUUCAGGUAAAAAGAACUCUAUUGUAGAUAGAAAGGCUUGGGAGCUGUCUAGUCUACUCUAGACUGGUUUCUAAGGAAAAAUAAGAAAGGAAAAAUAACAAACAUCUAAACAGUUACAUCUUGCCAGGAGAGAUGGCAGGACACUGCUUGUUAGCUAGAAGAACAAAGGGAGAAAAGAGAACCAAAAUGGUUCCAACCUGAUGGUCCAGUUUAUUGGGGCCAUAAAAGACAUUCUGACCAAUGAGAAGUUAGUGUCCCUGAAGAUUCACAUUUCUACUAACUUCAAAGUAAGGGAUGUGAUGUAAACAGGAUAGAGUGAAACACAGUAAAGCCUGUCUAGGCAUGCUUUGGAAACAGGGAAAGGGUUCCCUCAAUCUAACUCUAUCAUCUAUCUGACUACAUCUCGACUUGAGUCGUCCAGGAUGAUUCCCAACAAUUCUUACUCAGAAUGGAUGGGAAGGGGCUUCCCUUGGGAUCUUUCUGCAAGGCCCCAGGCAUGUGUGAUGGGGAACCUCAAUGCCAUGCAGGAUAACACUGGGCAUGGAUUGGGGAGGGGACGGAGGAGGGGUGAGUGGAGACUCCCCCCCCCAGGAGAUCCAGGGUGGGAGGGAGGGGUCGAGGCCCAGCCCCCUGGGGACCCCCAAGCGGAUGUUGGACACCCAGUUACCCCUGCAGAGCUCUAGAGCCGGAGUGGGCAGCACCAUUAUUAUUAUUAUUAUUAUUAUUAUUAAUUAUUUAUACCCUGCCACCAUGUCCCAGAGGGACUCGGGGCGGCUCACAGAACACUCCAAGGUGUGACAUGCAAAAUACAACAAGUGCAAAACAAAAACAUAAACCAUCAACAUAGAUAGCAUCCCAAAUUCACAGGACCCCAUGCUUAAAAACAAUAAAAUACAGUGAUUGCUGUAGGUAAAAACAGCAGUAUUUGAUUUCAGAAUUGUAAUGUGCUAAUAUUUGAUCUCAGAAUUGUCAAGCGCUUGAUAGAGAAUCGGAAGGUCCUCCUAUGUAUUACUAAGGAAUCAAAAAUGGUUGAAGGCUUGUUGGAAAAGCCAUAUCUUUAAUUGUGUGCUGAAGGUUUGGAGGUGGGGGCUAACCUGAUCUCCCUUGGGAGUGUUGGGAAUUGACGAGCCGCUAAAAUCUAAUCAUCCUCUUUAUGAGGUAAAUUCCCAUUAAAAUAACAGAGUAAAAUGCAGCGGUGAGACUUACGGGGUUUGAGUUUGGAAGGCCUCUUUGUCACCAGGAAGGCAAAGGAAUGCAAAGUUAGCUUAAAAGUUUAAAAGCAUUUAUUGAGGUAAAAAGAAAUCCAUUGAUAGAUAGAAAAGGUUUGGAGCUAACUAGCUAAUCUAUCCUGUUCUAAUACACAUAGAUGGAUCAAAACAACAAUAGCUACAUCUUGACUAGUAGAGCGGACAAUAUGUGUCCUCUCUGGCACAAAGCAGGAAGAUGGAAUGGUGACCAAGUUUGAUGGGUCGCUUCUUCUCUAGGGCAUAAACAUUCCAAAAGCCCAUUUG
rnacentral:lncRNA from 11 species